rnacentral:rRNA from 1 species
AGCUCCAAUAGCGUAUAUUAAAGUUGUUGCGGUUAAAAAGCUCGUAGUUGGAUUUCUGCUGAGGACGACCGGUCCGCCCUCUGGGUGAGUAUCUGGCUUGGCCUUGGCAUCUUCUUGGAGAACGUAGCUGCACUUGACUGUGUGGGGCGGUAUCCAGGAGUUGUACUUUGAGGAAAUUAGAGUGUUUCAAGCAGGCACACGCCUUGAAUACUUUAGCAUGGAAUAAUAAGAUAGGACCUUGGUUCUAUUUUGUUGGUUUCUAGAGCUGAGGUAAUGAUUAAUAGGGAUAGUUGGGGGCAUUCGUAUUUAACUGUCAGAGGUGAAUUCUUGGAUUUGUUAAAGACGGACUACUGCGAAAGCAUUUGCCAAGGAUGUUUUCAUUG